rnacentral:rRNA from 1 species
UGGGAUCCGAUUUAGCCAUGCUAGUCGCACGAGUUCAGACUCGUGGCGAAUAGCUCAGUAACACGUGGCCAAACUACCCUUCGGAACACAAUACCCUCGGGAAACUGAGGCUAAUAGUGUAUACCAUACCACCACUGGAAUGAGUGGUAUGCCAAACGCUCCGGCGCCGAAGGAUGUGGCUGCGGCCGAUUAGGUAGACGGUGGGGUAACGGCCCACCGUGCCAAUAAUCGGUAUGGGUCAUGAGAGUGAGAACCCAGAGACGGAAUCUGAGACAAGAUUCCGGGCCCUACGGGGCGCAGCAGGCGCGAAACCUUUACACUGCACGACAGUGCGAUAGGGGGAUCCCAAGUGCACAGGCAUAGCGCCUGUGCUUUUCGGUACCCUAAGGCGGUACCAGAAUAAGGGCUGGGCAAGACCGGUGCCAGCCGCCGCGGUAAUACCGGCAGCCCAAGUGAUGGCCGAUCUUAUUGGGCCUAAAGCGUCCGUAGCUGGCCGCGCAAGUCCAUCGGGAAAUCCACCUGCUCAACAGGUGGGCGCCCGGUAGAAACUGCGUGGCUUGGGACCGGAAGGCGCGACGGGUACGUCCGGGGUAGGAGUGAAAUCCCGUAAUCCUGGACGGACCGCCGAUGGCGAAAGCACGUCGCGAGAACGGAUCCGACAGUGAGGGACGAAAGCCAGGGUCUCGAACCGGAUUAGAUACCCGGGUAGUCCUGGCCGUAAACAAUGUCUGCUAGGUGUGGCUCCCACUACGAGUGGGUGCUGUGCCGUAGGGAAGCCGCUAAGCAGACCGCCUGGGAAGUACGUCCGCAAGGAUGAAACUUAAAGGAAUUGGCGGGGGAGCACUACACCGGAGGAGCCUGCGGUUUAAUUGGACUCAACGCCGGACAUCUCACCAGCAUCGACUGUAGUAAUGACGAUCAGGUUGAUGACCUUAUCCGAGCU